ACAUGAGUUGGCAGUGAAUUUAUAGCAUGAUGAAUGCAGUAUUUUUAUGCAAAUGAAACAUUAAAUGAAAUAUGGUUUGAUAUGCACUUUCUAAAUUUGUUUUGAAUAGAAAACAAAACAGAAUAUUUCACAAUAUCUACUUCCUACACAAUAGUGUAAAUUUCCUUAUGCAGGUAUAUAACUUGGAAUUACAGUAUUUGUUUAUAGAUGACAUGUAUUUAUAACCAGUGACGGAUCCAGCCAUUUUAAAAAGGGG
rnacentral:lncRNA from 1 species